GAUGAAGAACGUAGCGAAAUGCGAUAAGUAGUGUGAAUUGCAGAAUUCAGUGAAUCAUCGAAUCUUUGAACGCACAUUGCGCCCCAUGGUAUUGCGUGGGGCAUGCCUGUUCGAGCGUCAUUUACCCCCUCAAGCUCCGCUUGGUGUUGGGCGUCUGUCCCGCUUCGCGCGCGGACUCGCCCCAAAGGUAUUGGCAGCGGUCGUGCCAGCUUCUCGCGCAGCACAUUGCGCUUCUCGAGGCACCGGUGGGCCCGCGUCCAUCAAGCUCACCCCCCCAGUUUGACCUCGGAUCAGGUAGGGAUACCCGCUGAACUUAAGCAUAUCAAUAAGCGGAGGA
rnacentral:misc_RNA from 1 species